CUUCAGUGGCAUUCACAUAAAACCCAGCACCAGUGCCAAAGUCCCAGCUCUCAUCUUCCCCUUUAAUAUUGCAGCCACCUGUCAAGAAAAAAUCUGGUAUUUUUAUCCACUCUCUGGUAAUUUAUUUAAUAAUGUACUUUUAGAUAAAUAUGCAAAUCCAUUUGCAUUAUAGCUGUUCAGGAACUCUCUCUUUUGGAGUACUUGGUAAGACUGUAUUCCUGGACCUCCUGGCCUGGUAUAGGGACCAUGUGACUAGUUCUGGCCAAUAAGGUGAGAGGGAAUGACCUGCCAAACAGAAUUCAGCUUCCAAGGUUGUAUAGCUAAUGAAAGAAUGUUGUGACAGUCAUCUUAAUUUGCCAAAGACAGGAAUCACCACAUGGGGACUAUCUUUGAAGACUUCUUUAGAUGUUCUGAUUUUAGCUAAUCUGUCAACUUUAGCAACUUACUGGCAUUUUGUGUCAGUGAUGAAUUGCUUAUGAAUGUGCAAUCUUGAACCAAUCAGUUGAAACGUAUCACAUCUUGGGGGAAACAGACUCGAAGCAAGUGGUUCCUUUUAAAAAUCUUUUCUACCUAUCAUUUUAAUUAUGAAAGGUUUCCUUUGGUAAGUAUCACAAUACAAAAGUACAAGGGUAACCACUGGGUCUAAUAUGAAUCUAUUCUAAGCAAAUGAAUGUAUUAUUAGGGAAUUUAUGCUAUAUUUUAAGAUCAAAUUUAACAAAACAAAAAAAUAGCUGGUGGAAAAAAUAUUGUAUAAGCUAUUCAGGGAAAGAUGAUAAUUAGCUUUAGCAAACAUAGAACCCCCAAUGAGGAAAAAUCCAGAAUAGGAAAAUGAAAAUUGACUGGUGAACCUCACUUAGGGGAUGAUUAUUAGUAGAUUCCAUUAAAUGAACAGUUUAGGAGGCAACUUAUAAUUUGUUUGGUCUGUUAACUUUAGAAGUGUCUUCUGGAUAGUAAUAAAUAGCUUCAAUGGUAAUAUGCAUCACCAAUACCCAACUGGAAGCCCAGACCCAAAGCAAGAGUCAGAAAUGAAGAAUAGGUGGGGGUAGAAAAUGAAAUUUCAACCUUGAAACAGUAGAGCCUGGUAACUGGGGAAAAUUCUACGUGAACCUUUAAAGGUUGAGGAUAGAUAUCAAGUGGGGUGAAGCAAGGAAGGAGAUAAAGGUGCCUGAUGUUCCAAAGCAUCCAAAAGACAAUGGGAACUAUUAAAACAUUAUUAAAAGAUCUUUACUGAUAACAUUCAUCUCUAAAGUAUACUAAAUACCUAUAACAAUCAACCACUAUUUAUUCAUUCAGUUGUUCAACUACAAAUGAAUUACAAGUAAUUAUUAAUUGUAUUACAAUUACAAUGUACAAGUAAUUCAACUGAAUUACUUGUACAUUUUUAAUGAGUAUUUAAAGUCUUGGAGCUGUUCUGAUCACUCAAUUAGUAUUUUAAGGUAUUUUGUAGGAGAACGAAAUGUACAUUGGAUAUGUGGACUUCAGCCAACUAAAUAGUCCUAGAAGUGAGUGAUGGUAUGAUUCUUAAUUUUCUUAAAUCAGAAUUUUAUCAAGUGUUGAAAUUAGCUUUUAAAUUUAAAAUUUGAUUUAAAAUCAAAUGAUAUGGAAUUUUUCUAAAUUAUAAUAGAAGUCAGCAAGAGCAUAUUGUUACAUGCAACACUUUCAAUAACAAUAGGCAAGGCAAAAAUCUAUGUAGCUAGGCAAUAUUAUUUGAAUGUCAAUAUUUUAGAACAUGUAAAAUAUUAGUACAAAUAAAAUGGUAUUUUCUACAUGUAGUAGGAAAUAAGUUAUUAGGGAAAGUAUUAAGGUUUAUACUAUUUUCAGAUACCAGUCUGUUCUGUGUUUUAAAAAUGUUACAGUUUAACCCUCCCAGGAGAUGUCCAAGGACCUCCACCUACAGAUGCCCUUUGUGGUGUAUGACCCAGGUUACUGUGUGCACUUGAAAAAAAUUUCUCUUAAAUAAUCUGUAAUUUAAUUUUGAGACUUAGAUUUCAAAUUAUCAAAUAAGGGAAUGUUGUACAAAACUUUUAAUGAAUAAACUCCUGGAUAAGGGCACAUACAAAUUUAAAAAAAAAAUAAGAGGCUUCUCUUAAAAGUAAGGCAAUUCUUUCCUUUUCUUAGAGCAUUUUAUUUUGCAAACUUGUAAAUUCUCUGCCCUCAGAUGUAAAUCUUUUAAAAACCCAUUGCAGGGCUUUCAAUCCCAGAGUCUUUUCCAAGAUCCAAGGAGUAUUACAUGAAAUGUAAUCAUCAAAGGAGAUGCAUAUCCAAAGGAGAUGGUAUCCCAGUCUUCCAGUUUAGGUUGGAAGGGUAGAAGCCUAACUUCAAGGAAGAUCUCUCUCCAAGUUGCAAAACUACCUCUUGUCAUUAAAAUGCAAGAGAUUUGUUUUUCCUUUGUAUGAAGCCAAUUAGCUAACACACAUAGUCACUUCAAUUACUAGGUAAAUUUAGGAGGGACUGUGUGACAAAUGGUGCCAGCAAGGCCUCUUGACUGAGGAGUUAUUCUUUAUCUUGUGGAUGUGUAUAUCAUAGGUUGCAUGUGCUCAGCUCUAUAAAAAUGUGGGGUUUGGGUCUUUGCAAUCUCUGUAUUGCCGGUGAGGUGCAUCACAUUCUGGUUCAGUGUGUAUUCAAUAAUAAAGCUAUUUUCUUUCUCUACUGUCUUUGUGGAGAGAUUUUCUAGGUUAGAUAAUUUUAUAUCCCCAGCAUGACCUCAUAUUGAUUAUAUGGAUGGAUUUCACUUGCUCAUAAAAAUACUCCCUUGCCAGAUGUUAAUAUUUAGUUUCAUUAUCUAUGGGUUAACCAUUCAACAUCAAACUUAAUUCUCCCACCUCCAAAUAGCAUUGAGUUAUGCUUGAACACAUUCUGCUAUUCUUUCCCAUCCUCCGUGGACAUUGUUUACAAUGAUGUUCUGUAACUUUAAUUUGGACCUAGAGGAUUAAUUUUAUGAUAGCUUGAAGAAUGAAACAGCAGCAAGAUGGACUGUCCUAAGCUUCAUGUGGCCAGGAACUGUCAGUUAACUGAGGACAAGAGGACUGCAAGAGGUGGGAAGAGAAGAGAGCCUCUGUUGUCAGGAAUUCAAGAUCAGUGAAUGAAUGGCAGAAAAUAAAACAUACCAUGACCUCAAAAAGCAGGAUAAGAUGAGGCAAUGGCUCCAAGUUCAAGAAGUGGGGAAGAAAUAUGCUGAAUUUCUGGCAACAGACUGUUACAAAACAGUUCUUGCUCUACCAGGUUGAGAUCAGACCAAAACCAGUUCUUUAUCAUAUGGACCACACAUAGAGCAUCAUUGUUCAAUGAACUUUCUACAAUGAUAGAAGUGUCCCAUAUCUGUACUGUCCAAUGCACUAGCCGUCAGCCAGAUGUUCUGUUGAUCAAGUGUGGGCAGUGUAAUUUAAUAUUUACUCUUAUUUUUAAAUUGGUUUAAAAAUAGUAUCUACUCCAUUGGACAGUACAGAACUAUGAUUCAAGGGGAAAAGGUUUUUGGGUCAUUGACUUAUGAAAAAAAAAUGUUAUAAUGCCUGUACUACUCGGCAGGGAGUAGUGACGGUGGGAAUCUUGUGUGGGAUGCUGAUCGGCAUUAAUCACUGGUUGGAGGAUGUGUAGACAGGAGUUGAAGUGCUCCUAAAAGUUAACAGCAAUGAGACCAUUUGGAUGCUCGGUAUGAAAUAAGCUUUUCUGGGUUCUCUCCAGCCAGCUCAUGAGAGAGACCUUUUUACAGUCCUUCUUUCACACAUUUCAUUAUUUUCAAGUUCUAUCUUUAUCUUGCCCCAUCCUGGGAAUCCUAAGAGGAUUCUAGAGAGUUUUAUAAAUUGCUUUGUAGAUUAAAAUUCUAUAUAAAGUGUCUAUUACUACCAGCAGUCCUGACUUAGAGAGAUUAGACUUCUGACAGUUCCCCCUUUAUAGGGUAUGGAGCAAUGAAUCUGCAUUAUUAACCCAGGAGGCAGAAUCGCACAGAUAGUCGGAUCAGGGGUUCUGCUUCCCAGUGAUCUUACCCAUGCUGAUAACCCUCCUGUAUCCUCAGCCUGGCCUCACAGUUCUUUCCUUCUCUAUGCGUGUUCAUCCUUUCCUGGUGUGUCAGCUUGUGGACAGAGCUAAUCUAGAUCUUUGUGGAGGGACGUGCCAUUAGCUGGAAACUGCAGGUAGGUUGGCUGAAAGUCGUGAAAUAAGAAUUGCACAGUGGAAACGGCAUUGGACUUGAAGUCAGAAGACCUCCUUUGAGUCCUAGCCCUGCCCUCUGGGUUAUGAAACCAUAAUUGGAUGCUUAAUGUAUUAGAGUCCUAGUUCUUUUAUUCAUUUAACAGAUACUUUACUGAAUAACAUUUUGGAUUAGGUAUUAGGAACUAGAAAUUUGUCAGUGAACUAAACUGAAAAUCUCUAGUCUCAUCAAACUUGCAUUUCCAGUGGAGGGAACUGAAAAUAAAACACAAUAAAUAUAUUACAUAGCACAUAAGACAAGCUGGGGAGAGGAAUAGGAAUGGAUGGAAGAGAAUAUUUGAUAUAAUUUUCUUUUUUUUUUUUUUGUGAAUAUGUAAUCUUUUUUUUUUUAAUUUUUUAUUGUGGGUUGUUCAAAACAUUACAAAUUUCUUGACAUAUCAUAUUCCACACUUUGAUUCAAGUGGGUUAUGAACUCCCACCUUCACCCCAUACACAGAUUGCAGAAUCACAUCAGUUACACAUCCAUUGAUAUAAUUUUCAUUGGGGAAUCAGGAUAGGCCUCACUGAGAAAUAGACAUUUGAGCAAAGGGUUGAAGGUAAAUGCCUCAUUUCCUGUGUAGGGAGAGACUUCUAAGCAAUGUCAUUUUGGUUCAGAAACUUGAAAAUGAUAGAGGAACUUGAAAAUAAGCAUGGUUGGUGACCCUCACUAGGAGAGAAAACGGCCACCCUUGAAAUGCCUACUGUGUGCUGGGUGCCAAAUACUUUGUAUCUGAAAGCUGAUGCUAACUGGCAUUCUUCACCCUGGAAACUGAAGGCUCACCCUAAUACUUUGAUGAAUGAUCAAAGUCUCAGGAAUGGGAGAAUUUUCAAUGUGAAUCUGAUUCCAUUUCCUAGUGUGGGUUUUAUCUCAAUAUUAUGGAAUAGGCUGGUGCCUAGGGGUAUGUAAUGCAGUAUAAAACUAUUUGGAGUUGUUCUCCAUGGGACUCCAAGUUGCUGUUCCUCCACAAUCAUUUCAAGGAUGUUUGAAUAGUGAAAUCUUGGAAGACAGAUAAUGUCUCCAUCUGGAGCCAAGAACAGGCUUGCUUACUGCUCAUCAUAAAAGAUUUAGCUUUGCUAAGCUCAGGUUCCUUUCCUAUAAUGUAAUCCACUGUGUUUGUGGUUGUCAUUUGGCCUUCUUUUUAUCACCCUGUGGGAAAUGGAACUUGGGCAACCAGUGUGAGAAAGUGAUAAUACUUUAUUUUGCUGGGGUGAAUCUCUGACCCAAGAGUCUCAUAUCUUCAGACCACAUCCAUGAAACUGUCAGGCUAACUUGUUCACUUGCAAGCAGAAUAGAAUCUAAGAACUGCACUUUAGUAUUUGAGUUGGAGAUUUUCCUAGGAGAAUCUUUAAAGAUUUUAAGAAGUGAUAAUAAAGCUUACAAACAUACAUUAUCUAAAUUAGCUUUUCGUCCCAAUUAAAAAAUAGUUAUAAAGUAGAAAAUAAAAAUGAUGGCUUAUUAAUUUUCCCAGCACUACUGGGAGAGUUAAUUCUUAAGUAGUAAGCUUCCUUAGGCAGUUGGAAACAUAUACUUUUGUGAAUUUAAUGGGUCAUUAUUGGAAGUUCUAUUUUCAUUUACAAACAUUUUUCCUUCCUUUUUUUAUUUUUUAAAAUUCUGGCGGACGUCCUUUCUCUAGAAAGGACUUUAGGAAGCACAUAGCAUUUGAAUAACCUGAGAGCUCAGCAUCCUUGAAUGUGCAAAGCUGCCAGAGUUGGUCAGAGAGUCAACCUGAAUAGAAUUAUCAAAGGCCACUGUGUGGAUGAAAAUGCAAUUUGAGGAUGAAAUGGAAAGCAAGGCUCUGAUAGUUUGGUAUGGGGAUUUAACAUUUGUACAAGGUCCUUGAGGGUAAAGGCACUAAUUAGACAAAUAAGACUAUUUGGAAGAUCGUGGUUUGGAAGAGUCAUUCAUAUGACCCAAAGCAAACGCCAAUCAGAAAAACAUGCCACCUAACGUUUUCCCCAAACAUUGCUGAUUUUUGUUCUUUCAAAAUUAUGGAACUUGUACCCUAAAAUGUUUAAUUAGUAUUCCUAACUCUUUUGGAGGACCUACUCAUGGGGAGUAUAAUGGAAAUGCCCUAUGUUUAACUCGGUUCCUGUUUUACCCUAUUUACAAUGUUUAUCUUCAGGCACUUCCCCAAGAAAGUCUGGGGCAGAUAUUCAUUCUCUAAUGCACAAAUAUGCAUUCACCAGCUGCUGCCAUUUAUAAAUAUGGGACAUGUGAGUCACUCACUUCUAUUAUUGCCAUACAGGAAAAAAAUCAAAUACUUAUCAAAACACUUUUUAAAAAAAAUUUAUAGAAAAAUAACUUUGAAAAUCUUUACUUGUUUAUUCCCAGAUAUAUCAUUUAAUAAUAAACAAUCCAACGACAAGUGAACUCAAGGUGAUAAAGAAGCUUGAAAGAAUCUGAAGAAAGUAAAAAGGGAAAUUAAAGGAACAUUAAAGUGAUUGAAGUAGAUACUACAUGGAAGCACAAGCAAGAGGAAAAAUUGAUAAAUUGGACUUCAUUAUAAUUACAUUAAAGGAUAGUACCAAGAAAGUUAAAAGAUAACAUGUAGAACGAGGGAAAAUAUUUGUGAAUCAUUAAAUCCUUGUAAGAUAUAUAUCUAGGAUAUAUAAAAAAAACUAUUAAAACUCAACAAAAGGAUAAGAUAAACUUGUUUAAAAUGAGCAAAGGACUCAAAUAGAUUUUUCUUCAGAGAAGUUAUACAAAUAGCUGAUAAGCAUAUGAAAUGAUGCUCAACAUCAUUAGUUACUAGGGAAAUGCAAAUUAAAACCAUAAUGUGAUACCACUUCACAUGCACUAUGAUAAUAAAACGAUGGAAAAUAACAAGCAUUGCCAUGGAUUUGAAGAAAUUGGAACUUUUGUACAUUUCUGGUAGGAAUGUAAAAUGAUACUGCGACUGUGGAAAAUAGUUUGGUUGCUCCUCAAAAAGCUAAACCUAGAAUUACCAUGUGGUCUAGCAAUUCCACUUCUAGGUAUAGACCUCAAGGAAUUGAAAACAAGACUGAAACGGUUAUUUGUACACCAUUGUUCAUUGUAAUCUUAUUCAUAAUAAAGAGGUGGAAACAAGUGUCCAUCAACAGAUGAAUGUUAAAAAUAUAAAAUGUAUUUUAUUUUAUAUAUAAUGUGUAUAAUUAUAUAUAAAAUAUUAUAUAAACAUAAAAUAGAAUUAUUCAGCCAUCAAAGGGAAAUGAAGUUCUAAUACAUAUUUUAUUUUUUUGUACCAGGGAUUGAACCCAGGGGCACUUAACCACUGAGCCACAUGCAGGCCCUUUUUAUAUUUUAUUUAGAGAUGGGGUCUUGCUAAAUUGCUUAGGGCCUCACUAAAUUUCUGAGGCUGGCUUUGAACUUGGGAUCCUCCUGCCUCAGCCUCCGAAGUUCUGGGACUGAUGUAUAUUUUAUAUGAAUCUUGUAAAUAGUUAUGCUACAUGAAAUGAGCCAGAGACAAAAAGGACAAAUGGAAUUAUAGAAUUCCAUUUACAUGUAAUAUCUAGAAUGAGCAAACUAAUAGAAAGUAGAUUAGAGAUUACCAAUAGAGAAUUAUUGAGUUAUAGAGUUUCUGUUUAUGAAAUGAGAAAAAUCUGGAAAUAGUGGUGGUAGUACACGAUGGUGAAUUUAAUUAAUGCCACUGAAGUACAAACUUAAGAAUGGUUACAAUGGCAGAAUAUGCUAUGUAUUUUACCACAAAACUUUUUAUAGAGGAUAUAUACCUUCAUUUGGUUUAAAAAGUGUGAAUUCUAAAUUGGUCAAAUAGGUUUCUUUUUUUUUAAUGGAGAAAAGUACUGGGGCCUAGGUAAAUAUAUCUGAGAUAUUUACAAGCAAGUGGAAACUCAAAGGACAAAUACAGACUAUGAUAGGACUAGAAAAAAAGUAAGUUGGAAAAAAUCCAAAUUAGUUUUGAGUGUAAAUAGUUGAUUUAAUUUUUACUAAUCAAACUAGAAACCAUGGGAAGAAUAAUUAAUAGAUCAUGACCAGUAGGAGGGAAUAAUAACCUGUAGGCACUAGUCAUGAUGAGGCCCAUGCAGAAAAACAGAAAUAUGUCAACAGUACGAAGUUACAUAAAAGGAUCAGAAUGUAGACCAGCAUGAGAUAUUGUUGCAACUUUGAGAUAUGUUGUAUGUGGGAGACAAAAUAUAAAAAUGGAAAUAGCUGCGCUAGGAUUAAAAUAUUUCUACUGCUGUUGCAUUAUUCAGCUUUUUAAAAAGGGAAAAUGAAAAAUAGCUCAAUACCUUGCAUCUCAAUUAGUAAUUUGAAAAAUAACUUUGGAGUUUCAGGAUAGAGUCCCUUUAGCCUAGAAUUGUAUCAAUUAUAUACAAUUUUAAACUGCUAAUGUCUAUGUUGUUCGAAUGUCACUAUUUUUCAAUCCAAAGAGAAUGGUUUGCAGAAGUUAUAGAAACUCCAUACUGAGUUUUGAUUGAGAUUUAACUAAACAGUCUCAUUUAUUAUGGAAACUUCAAGGUUCAUUAACAUUAACUUAGGAAUUCAGUAGUUCAAGUUGUUUUUGCCGAUGAGGAAACUGAGGUGUACAGACUGCAAGCUGACAGAAGCAGGCAGGAGCCCAGACUCUUAAGUCUUGGGGCUCUGCUCAUUUCAUUACUUGGUGCAAUCUCUAGUUCAUUGUCAAACUGUGUAUUACUGUGUAUUAUAAAUGCAUACCUAAUGAGCUUAGAAGACAUGUCUUCCAAAUGCUACUAUCUCGUUACUAUUAAUCUGUAUUAAAUUAACCAAACCCAUGAUCCCAUUUCACACUAUGAAUUGAUCUCAAUUCAUCAAUCACUGAACUUUGGCAUAUGCUGGAAUUUUGAUGUGGAGAUAUAAAUGCAAUCAUAUUUCUUAUUCUAUCCUGGUGAAAAUCUGUUCCAAGCCCAUAAAUUAUAUGGAUCAAUUUUGACCUAAAUCAAAAGGGAAAUCAAUCAUAAAACCUUGCCUCCUUUUUUGAUUGCUAUUUAUUUAAUUCUACUUGAAGCAGAAGCUGGUUUAAAAAAGAUCCCCUUCUGGCCCGUCAGUUCUCUCCUGGUUUAAUUCCAUUGCUAUCCUAUUUCAGGUUGCUGAGCCACUGGUCAGGUUGCAAAAUAAUCAAUUUUCUUUUCUGCAUUCAACUAUCAUGGAAAAGGAAAACAAAAACAAGCAUACCAUCCUGAAAAUAGACUAUUUAGCAUUGCUAUUUCAAUACAGUCUACCAUCUAGUUUAUUCAACCAAGAGAAAACUCUAUUUCAAAAUAAUUACAAAGUGUUAGUGGACUUUCCAGGUUGGCAGACAGGAACGAGGGUUGCAGGUGACAUCAUGUGUACUAAUCAGAUCACUAGGUGUUUUUUUUUUUUUGGGGGGGGGGUAUUAGGGAUUGAACCAAAGGGGUUCAAUCCUUGCACUCCCAGCUGGCUCUAAAGGUCAUGUGGAAACUUCAAGAAGAAUUCCUUGCUAACAGAACAAAAACAUCUUUGUUCAGAGGCUUGAUGACAAUUUUUGGUGUUGACCUAACAGCAGAAAAUGGAAUUGAUUACUGAAAAAGAUUAUCAAAUGUAAUUUAAUUGGACAAAUCCCUCAUAAGACUUAAGAUUUUUUUCAACUGUUUGAUUUUUCUGAAUUGUUUCAAAACAGUACCAGGGAAAUUGCUUUAAUUGUAUCUUAUAUUUUUCCUCUUGCAUUCUGAUAGUGUUGUUAAGGGAAAGUAAUAUUGUUAAAAUAUGGAGCUCUUUGAAAUGUGAGAAGGUCCCUUUUUACCUUCUCACCAACUAGAAAUGAAAACUCCUAAACAUGGACUUUAAAUCAAAGUUACCAUGAGAGAAAAUUCUAAAAAAUCAAGGGCAAUACACCUGCUUGAGAGAAUCAGGAUUGGCUCAUCAAUGGCCAGUUUUAGCAUUUAUUAAGUGCCUAUUGUGUUAGUGGUGAUGAAUUCAAAGACAGUAAGACACAGCCCCUUCCCUUGAGAGCUUAAAAUUCUAAUAUGCACCAUUCCAUGGAUUAUUUGACCACUCUGUACAGUAGUGGAAAUGCUUGCCUGAGUAAGCAUAUAUGAAUGUAGAAAAGCUACAAUUUUAAAACCAAGAACUCAUGCUGUGUGAUUCAUAGGAUGUUCAAAUUCUGCCCAAUCCUUAACUGAUUAUUUUUUUUAGGUAGUGCUCCUCAGCCUAAGGAAUCAGAUAAUCCAGGAACUGGCUCUAAGAAUAUGCAUUUCUCAGUAAUUCUAUGUACUUUUCGUUACUUUCUUGCAGAAAAGUCAUAAGUGGACUCUCAUGCAAAGGUGAUGUGUUCCUCAAUUUUCCAUUCAGACUUAUCUGAGAAUAGUUACUAUGGAUGAUUGGAAAUAUUUCACUUUAACAACUCAUUCUUUCGUUAUUUCUAGGCUUUUUUUUUAUAACAUUCCGAUAAAUGGUUCAUUCAAACAUAAUAAAAUACCUCACAAUGGGCUGGCGAGCAAGUGCUGGCUAAAGUAGUUCACUGAGAAAAAGGCUAGAGGUGAGAGGAUUUUGAAAGCCAAAACCUGAACCUGAAGUUAUCCAUUCCCCCAAGGAAAAUUCCCUACUAAAACUGUCCCUGUAAUUGCUUUCACUUUUAUGGGAAAUGUACACAGUCAAAAAUGAAACCUCAUUAAUUUAAUGAAAAUAUUUCCUGGAUGAAUUAAUAAGGUGCUCUCCUGCUGAGUUUAAAGCACCAAGUUAUUGAAAAGACAAAAAGUGCAACUUAAAAGUGCCAGCUUUUGCCUGGCAGCUGGAAUGUGAAAUUCUCAUGGUAUAUGUUUUGCAUUCUUGGUUUCUGUUGACAAACCAUCUCCAUGGAAACAGACAUUAAAUCUCUGAAAAUACUGGAAAAGCUACUACAGAGAUGUCCAUCCAAAACUCUCAAUUGCUGUCCUUUUCCAAGUCAGGUCCCAUAUGCACACCGCGGGCCUGGGAGGACAUUCUCCUUUAGAAAUGACUUUGUCGGGAAGAAACCAAAAGGACAUCUUGGGAAACUAUUUCCUCCCUCUUAUUUCCUUGUUCCUUCUUUUAUUUUUUCCCUUCCUCCCCCGACCUCAAUCAUUCAUUUAUUCAACCAAAUAAUUGAGCUAGAAUAAUGGAUACAUAUAUGCAUAUGGAUAUACACAUAUAUAAUACACAUAUACAUGUUUAUAUUUCCUCUUAUAUAGGUCAGACACUAAUACGUGGUUAUAAGAGCAAAACCAAUCUGCAAAAUAUCUUUGAAUACAUCUAGGAAGCAUGUCUGUUAUAAAACAGUGAUACAAGGACAGGGUUAGGGUCUGAAUCACUAUCAUCCAACACAUAAUGUACAUAUAAGCAUUGGGAUGCUUGCCUGGGCAGACUGGGGUAGGAAUGUGUUGGAGAGCUAGUGUACCUGGGAUGCACAAAAAGAAUUUACAAGAAGCUAAAGGUGUGGGGUGUCUGGCACAUCAUGUGAAUAUUCCAGACAAUCAGAAGUCUGUGCUUAAGACAAAAUCGGUAGACAUAAAACCUCAGUGCCUCAAGCACAGCCAAUAAAAAAUUGAGAAUCAUGUCUCUAUUUCAGAUAAGAUUGACUAUUCAGAGGAAACACAUUUAAUAAAUAACUGCCCUUACCACAGAGUAAUUGACCUACUAGAAAAAUAGAGUACUCUGGAGUAGUCAGACUUGAUUUUUAUGUCAACUGGGCGGGGGAGUCUCCAAAGUUUCUAUCUCAAAUGUAUAAGCGGCAUGGGAAUUAGUCUGGUCACACAGUAUGUAACAGGGUCACUGACAUAAACCUUCAUGGUGAUUUGUUUGGGAUUUAAUAAAAGAGCAGGAUUAUGAAAAGGAAUCAAUGAGUCAUAGAAAAAUGUAGAAGACAAAUUAAUUCAUGUUUUAAGAGAUUUUAAAGGAUUUUUAGCAUUAGUGAUUGUUACCCUAAAGGAUCUUAUGGGUGUGUUCCAAUUUAAAUUGGGCAAGAUAUGCCUGGUCAAAUUCAUAUUUCACCACAGCCAGUGGUCCUAGUUCCUGAAAUCAAGCAUUAAUUUAAAAAAAUGAGAAAAAACUAGAUAACUAACAGACUUUGAAGACUUCACGUUUCUUUAAAGUGCCAGUACAAUUCAUGUUUCUCAAAUCCUUAAGGUAAAAGCAAAAGCUAUUACAGACCCAUAACCGAGGACAGAAAAUGAAAGCCAGAAAAUGCCAGUUUUUGAAAUAAAAACCAAAAAGUUUCCUCAGAAAAUGUUCUGAAAUCUUCCUAGAAGUGCUUCUCCGGAAUAAAGAUUUUGAAAGUGUGUCUAAUAGAAAUAUAGCUCUCUGUUCAGCUAUGAUCCCAAAAUACCUCUCUAAAAGUCAUCAAAUACUGCUUUUCAGUGUGACUAGUGUGAGCUAGCGCUAAUCUUGAAAAUAUAAUAUUAAUGGUAUGAUGCUAUUUUGAUGAUAGCUGUUGGACUCAUUUUCAGUAUUUUGCUAGGAAAUCUUCAGCAUUCUUCCAGUACCAUCAAAGAUGUUCUGACUGGUCCUGUCUGAUUAUAAAUACUCCCAGAGUGGAAAAGGGCCUCAGUUUUAGAGUUAGAUGUUCCUUAAAGGAUAUUUUUUGCAAGUUCGUGCUAUUUGUAUGCUUGCUUUUAAAGCACCAUCAUAAUGUCUUUCUCCCACAUUCUUCUCUCUCCUUGGGAAGUUCUGUCUCCUCUAUUUUGCCGACAACAUGUCCCUUUUCAUAAAAUCUUGCCUCGUUCUGGCCCUUCACAGAGUUCUUUAUAUUUUUAGUGCAAUGGCAAAUUCUGUUUUCUGCUAUAACUGGUUUCUCCAUUAGAUUGUAAGCUGUUUGCUGUAUACAUAUAUUUUGAUUCAUAUUUAAAGAAAAACGUUCAUGAUCGUGUGUUGAACCUUCUAUUAGAUGGUUUUAUGUGCAUUUGAUCUUCACCAUGUCCCUUGCAUGCUUGUGAAGCUCCUGGAUCUUUGUGCACCCUCCUUAAUGGCACUGUUAUUUAAUAUGGUCUUCUGAGAGGAUUCUCCUACCAGAAAGGAAGGUCCCGUGCAGAUGAAUAGACCCAGGAAAAUCUAUACCUACAUUUUAAAUCAGUGAGUUUACUAAAACUUGAUUCAUAUAGGUCAGCUUCCCAAAAUGUAAUGACUCUUUGAUGAAGGAAAAAGAUGAUAAUCUAAACUUGCAAAGUUCAUGCGUGGACUGUGGAAUAUGGAGAUUCCAUUACUAAGUAGCCAGAAUGGUAAGGUCCUGAGACAAAGGAGGACAGCAGAUAUUAUACCUCUUCUUAGACUAUUUCUUGUUGUGUAUACAAUCAAUUUAAAGAAGAGAAAACUUCCUUAUAUGGAACUGGAUUCUGACAUGAGAAAACUCAGAAAGAUUCUUGAAUACUUUUUUUUUUUUUUGUAUUGGGAAUUGAAACUCAGAGGUAAUUUACCAUUGAGCUAUAAACCCAGUCCUUUUUGUAUCUGGGUAUGUCUCAUUGCUGAGGGUUUUGUAAAGUUGCUGAGGCUGACCUGGAACUUGCAAUCCUCCUGUCUCAGUCUCCCAAGUCACUGGGACUACAGGUGUGUACUACUACACCUGGCUUUCUUGAAUGCUUUCUAAAGAAAUCUGAAAAAUCUCAAACUAAAGUUCACCAACAGGUAGAGAAAAAGUAAAACAAAAUGAAACCCUCAGACAGUUUUUUCUUAUAGCUUCAACUAAUGGCACAUUUAUAAUGAUUAUAACAUAGUUGAUAUUAAGUAGAAAAAUAAAACUAGUUUACUUUUAUGAUUGUUAGUCUUCGGCUUAAAGUAUAGGAAAGCAAUCCAAAAACAGCUUUUGAAACUGAGCACAAGGUUAAUAAAAUUUCUUUCAAGAGUACCUUCCAUGUCCAGAAAUUAAUAUUUGAAUGCCCGCAUGCCUGGAUAGGCAUUUCCUAUUAUAUAGUUUGGGAGCAAGUUGAAAUGCAUUUUUGUUUUGCUCUUUGUUUCUUACUCUUUGGAAGCUUUUGACAAAGUGGAGAAAUAAACAGGACUGUUACAAUAAAAUAUGUGAAAAGAUAAUACAUGAAGGGCCAUGGAAGAUUCAGACUAGGGCACAUAGGAAGGAGGCUUCUUGGAGGAAGUGGUACCAGAAGAGAAGGAAAUAAAAGUUAGCCAGGUAAAGGGAUGAGAAGGCAUUUCAAGCAGAAAAUUAAAUAAAGUCAUAAGAGUGAAAUGACAUGAUGCUAACUAGUGUAUCUGGAAAAUCAAUGGCGGCUUCCUUAGGGCACUCGGCUGGAGUUACCACCACGACCAGAUGUCAGCCUGCAGAGGCAGGGAGGGACAAAGGGUCACUGCACUUUGUCUCCUCCAUAGUCCUGAACUAUCAGCUCCUUCAUGGUGAGAAUGGACUCUUAUUUACUUGAAUAUAUGAUUUAACUGUUUGGUGACUCAUUAUCAGAUUUAUAAUUCACUGAGGAGUUGCCAAUGAAACUCAAGAAUGAGAAAUACCAUUUUGAAGGCAAGUUAAAUCCAACUCUCCUUUGGAAGAUUCAUGACUAUAAAGGGGACAUAGGGUCAGCAUUUUAAAAAUUAGCUUUUUAACUUAUACAUAAAAAUAUAAGACUGUACAUAUUUAUGGAAUACGAUGAAGUGUUUUUGAUACAUGUACAUAUUGUAUGGAUGUUUAUAUCAGGUUAUACAUGUCUUCUUAAACCUUAUUUUAGUGGUGAAAGCUAAAAAUUCUUCUAGCUUUUUAAAAAUAUACAUCACAUUAUUACUUAUAGGCACCCUACUGUGCAACAGCACACCAGAGCAUCUUGCGUCUAUCUAACUGUAACCUAGUACUCCAAUUGACCUUUCCCUAUUCCUUUUCAUCCUAUCCUAAUUGCUCCAGCCUCUGGUAAUCAAUAUUCUUUUACCAACUUUUAAGUGACCAGAUUUAAAAUAUUUUGCAUAUGAAUGAAAUCAUGUGGCAUUUUUCUUUCUGUGCCUGGAUUUAUUUCAUUUGACAUAAUGAUCUCUGUUUCUCUCCAUGUUGCAAAUGAUAGGCUUUCAUUCUUUUUUAAGGCUGAAUAGU